rnacentral:rRNA from 1 species
UGGCUCAGGACGAACGCUGGCGGCGUGCCUAACACAUGCAAGUCGAACGGAGUUGAGGAAUGAAGGUUCGAUUGGAUUUCUUAAACUUAGUGGCGGACGGGUGAGUAACGCGUGAGUAACCUGCCCAUAAGAGGGGGAUAACGUUUUUGAAAAGAACGCUAAUACCGCAUAACAUAUCGAAGCCGCAUGGCAUUGAUAUCAAAGGAGCAAUCCGCUUAUGGGUGGACUCGCGUCCGAUUAGCUUGUUGGCGGGGUAACAGCCCACCAAGGCAACGAUCGGUAGCCGGACUGAGAGGUUGAACGGCCACAUUGGGACUGAGACACGGCCCAGACUCCUACGGGAGGCAGCAGUGGGGGAUAUUGCGCAAUGGGGAAACCCUGACGCAGCAACGCCGCGUGGAGGAUCGAAGGUCUUCGGAUUGUAAACUCCUUUUGUUAAGGACGAAAAGAAUGACGGUACUUAACGAAUAAGCUCCGGCUAACUACGUGCCAGCCGCUGC